UCUGGCAUUUCCAGCUAAUAUCUGCACCAGGACAAAUUAAUCACAGAUAUUGAUUGUAAUUCUGUAACAGCUAACCACAAUAUAGUUUUUCUUAGAUUCUAUGAUCUGUUAGAUCCACAAAAGAGAUGAGCAAAAAGUCAAUAAAUUAUUAAAAUCUGGACCCCAGAAAAAUGAUUUAUUGUUAAUAUCACUAAGACAUUUCCUACUAGUUUACUUUGACUAAAUGCAUGGCUCACCAAUCUGCUAGGAUAUACCAAAUGUACAAGGGAAAUGCAACAAAGCAAUUUAAGAAGGAGAAAGUAAGAGUUUUUUGGUCCAAGAAGAGGCUUCACAUCACUAUAUUCAAGCCAACUCAACUACAACACAGUUAGCUACAUAAAUACUUUUUCUCCCUUCUAUUUCAUUCAGCAUCUAACUUUCUAUAAGCCCUUAUGGUGCAAUGAAGCACCCCGACAUCGCUAUGAAUAGGCAAACAGUUGAAUUGCUGUCUGUACAAGUUAGUUGGAUGUCAUGGUAUAGUAAUGACUUGCAGCAUUCUACUAUUGGUUUUAUUUAGCAAACUUGCACUGAAAUAGUAAGGCAAGAUGUCAUUUAAGCAACUAUUAAUUCCAUCAGAUCUCAAAUUCUUAUAUUUUUACUAACAACGCUAGUUUGAAUAUCACUGCAAGACUAAUAAAACAUGAAGCAAUAGCCUUAUAAUGUCUCUGGCCCAGCAACCCCUCAAAUUAUGAACCAGGCCCAAGUCAGGCCAAAAGUUUUGGACCUUGGCUCAGUCCUGGCCUGCCUAUUUAAGCCUAUUUCUUUGAGACGAGAUGGAAUGAGCUCAGAAGAAAAACUGCAGAAGUACAAGUUGCUGUACACACAAAUCAAUCAUACUUCACGCAAGAAUACAAACAACUUUAUGACCGCAUAUUUGCAUAAUGAAGC
rnacentral:misc_RNA from 1 species